UUUUUUUUUUUUUUUUUUUUUUUUUUUUUUUUGGCAAA
rnacentral:ribozyme from 1 species